rnacentral:tRNA from 1 species
UGUCCUGUGGCUUAGUCGGUGAGAGCGUCGAUCUAGCAAAGACGGAGUCGUGGGUUCGAAUCCUACCAGAACCC